rnacentral:rRNA from 2 species
AAAUUGAAGAGUUUGAUCAUGGCUCAGAUUGAACGCUGGCGGCAGGCCUAACACAUGCAAGUCGAACGGUAACAGGAAGCAGCUUGCUGCUUUGCUGACGAGUGGCGGACGGGUGAGUAAUGUCUGGGAAACUGCCUGAUGGAGGGGGAUAACUACUGGAAACGGUGGCUAAUACCGCAUAACGUCGCAAGACCAAAGAGGGGGACCUUCGGGCCUCUUGCCAUCAGAUGUGCCCAGAUGGGAUUAGCUUGUUGGUGAGGUAACGGCUCACCAAGGCGACGAUCCCUAGCUGGUCUGAGAGGAUGACCAGCCACACUGGAACUGAGACACGGUCCAGACUCCUACGGGAGGCAGCAGUGGGGAAUAUUGCACAAUGGGCGCAAGCCUGAUGCAGCCAUGCCGCGUGUAUGAAGAAGGCCUUCGGGUUGUAAAGUACUUUCAGCGGGGAGGAAGGUGUUGUGGUUAAUAACCGCAGCAAUUGACGUUACCCGCAGAAGAAGCACCGGCUAACUCCGUGCCAGCAGCCGCGGUAAUACGGAGGGUGCAAGCGUUAAUCGGAAUUACUGGGCGUAAAGCGCACGCAGGCGGUCUGUCAAGUCGGAUGUGAAAUCCCCGGGCUCAACCUGGGAACUGCAUUCGAAACUGGCAGGCUUGAGUCUUGUAGAGGGGGGUAGAAUUCCAGGUGUAGCGGUGAAAUGCGUAGAGAUCUGGAGGAAUACCGGUGGCGAAGGCGGCCCCCUGGACAAAGACUGACGCUCAGGUGCGAAAGCGUGGGGAGCAAACAGGAUUAGAUACCCUGGUAGUCCACGCCGUAAACGAUGUCUACUUGGAGGUUGUGCCCUUGAGGCGUGGCUUCCGGAGCUAACGCGUUAAGUAGACCGCCUGGGGAGUACGGCCGCAAGGUUAAAACUCAAAUGAAUUGACGGGGGCCCGCACAAGCGGUGGAGCAUGUGGUUUAAUUCGAUGCAACGCGAAGAACCUUACCUGGUCUUGACAUCCACAGAACAUUCCAGAGAUGGAUUGGUGCCUUCGGGAACUGUGAGACAGGUGCUGCAUGGCUGUCGUCAGCUCGUGUUGUGAAAUGUUGGGUUAAGUCCCGCAACGAGCGCAACCCUUAUCCUUUGUUGCCAGCGGUCCGGCCGGGAACUCAAAGGAGACUGCCAGUGAUAAACUGGAGGAAGGUGGGGAUGACGUCAAGUCAUCAUGGCCCUUACGACCAGGGCUACACACGUGCUACAAUGGCGCAUACAAAGAGAAGCGACCUCGCGAGAGCAAGCGGACCUCAUAAAGUGCGUCGUAGUCCGGAUUGGAGUCUGCAACUCGACUCCAUGAAGUCGGAAUCGCUAGUAAUCGUGGAUCAGAAUGCCACGGUGAAUACGUUCCCGGGCCUUGUACACACCGCCCGUCACACCAUGGGAGUGGGUUGCAAAAGAAGUAGGUAGCUUAACCUUCGGGAGGGCGCUUACCACUUUGUGAUUCAUGACUGGGGUGAAGUCGUAACAAGGUAACCGUAGGGGAACCUGCGGUUGGAUCACCUCCUUACCUUAAAGAAGC